AGAAGGUUAUGGGGUUUGAGGAUUUUAGAUGAGUCUAAAAGCAAACAAAAAUGUCCUGUUUCUUAGGUCACAAAUGCCAGUUCUGCCCAUAGAGCCACUGUCGUGUUAUCUAUUUAGACUGAGAGACAAUAUUGGGAGCAGCAGCAUCUCCAGGACUGAUGAAAAAAGCUUACACAGGAUGGGUGGGGACUGCCUCUAGCCUACUUCAGAGCUAGUCUGGUGCUGACAGCACUUUCCUAGAAGAGAGGUAGAAGAUAAGGUUUUUUACAGCCUCAAGCAGAGUAGGGUAAGUACAUAUACCCUCCUGUUUCCUAAGAGAAUAUUCCAACCACUUGACUACUAUCCUUAAG
rnacentral:lncRNA from 1 species